UAUUGACUGUCAAGCAAAUAUUAGUAACUCUGAAUGCAAAUAUAAAGUUCAAAUAAUACAUUCAGAUAGUGAAUUUAAGAAAGACAAUGAGUUAAAUGUAAGUCAAAAGAUUGAAAUCAAACCUUCUUCAUUCAAAUCUAACAUCUUUUCAAUUGGAGACAAUUUUUUUCUGGGAUUCUACUAAAUAUUGUUCAAGGCUUGACAAAGUGGAGAUUAUUGUGAGACAAAGUGCUUAAGAAAAGUCAAUUUGAUUCAAUUUGAGCUUCCAACUUACAAAAGUAUCAAAAAUUAUUACUCGUAUCGUUAGUAUGAGUGCAAAACUAACAACUUCUGUUCAUGCGGUUUAUUGUUUCAGCGUUACUUCAAUUAAAUAAUAAAUCAAUGUGAAUGAGUUAAUUAUAUUGGAUAACAUUGACCUUUCAACUUGAAAACAACGGCUUCUUGAAACUUCAACAACAUCAAUGUAAAAUUUGAUCUGCCGCUCACGAAUCAUCUCAGGAUCUUUUGCUUUCUCAUCAUCUCCAUUGUGAUCUUCCCUAAUAUCUUCCUUCUUGUUUCUUCGCCUUUAUUUUAGGCUCAAAAAUAAGGUUAGUAAACCCAUCAAAAUGUCAAUAACAGUAAACCACGCUUAGGCCUAACAUUGCCUAAGGUUAUUUUAAUGUUAACAACCAAAGCUCAACUUCAAUCAAUCAUGUUCACAUUGGUGUUAACCUUUCAUCUUGACUGUCGCCAUCUUGGUCUUGUUAAUAUAAAUACAUUUUCACAGGUAAGGCAACAAUUAGACAAACAUUGUUAUUAAUACCAAGUUAAGGUAAUGUGUUAAAUCCUCGUGCCGGCUUCUUAACAAGUAAAUUUAAUUAACUUGAUUAUAUUCAUUAUAUUCCGUUUAUUUCAUUGAAACAUUUCCCGUUUAGAUUGAGAGUCUCUAGUGAUAUCAGUUAACUUAUUGAGAUAUUGUAAGAAUCAUGAUUAUACCUUUACUACGAGUCAAAACUCAUUUGUUAGUUAGUUCUUACUUUUAGGCAGUUAAACCGUCUUAACGAUGAUUCCAACUAGAUUAAGGUCAAUUGAAGGUAAAUUAGAAAUAGAUUGUUCAGAUUAAAUCAAGAUCACAAUUGGAUGCUGUUGAGUGCAGGUAAAGUUAAUGAAGAAGCAAAGUUUAUCAAUAAAAGUCCAAUUCUAGCAAAGAGUAAAGAAGAGAGAUAAAUAGAAAUAUGAUUUGUUGUUGUUUAAUGGCACUUAUGGUGCUAGAAUAUUCAUAACGGAAUGUUAAAGUUAAAUCGUACAUUUUGUCUUUUUAUUUCAUCGAGAAGUUGAGGUCAUUUGCAAAGGUCUUAAGGUUACUUGGUAAGAACACUAAUCUAAUUUUAACGAUGCCAAUUACCUGACCUCUCAUAUUUGCUGUUUAAACGCAAGUUGAAAUUAUAUGAUCAUGAAGGUGACGAAAGGUGAAGAGGAGGAGGAAGAAAAGGUGAUGAGAAACAAUGGUACAUUAUUUGAAAAGAGGAAAAAACUGUUAAACUUGAAAACAAUUUCAAGUAACAAUAGAGACUCUCCAAAGUGGACAUUAUUUAGUCAACUAGACUUUACAUUCAUGUCAACAUCUUUGGUCCCAUCUUUUGUUUGAAUACUAACUCUUUUUUUCUUACUUUUCAUAGACUGUCAACUUUUAAUGACUGUUUGAACCUGUUCAUUAAGGCGACUCUAGAAAGAGGUAAAGGUCAAAUGCACAAAGAAUAGCCGUUUUCUUGGAUCCAUUUGUAGGAGUAUUUCAUGGUUUAUCUCGAUGUGUAUGGUUACUUUUGACUUUUUUUGCGGUCAAAGUAAUAUUUAUUAAUACAUUAAGGGAAUGCUCAACACUGGACUUUAACCAAAGCCGUCAAGAGAAGAAGAUCGAAGCCUCUAUUAAGCUAAAUUAACAUGGCAAAAGCUAAUGGGUUAGAUGAAACAAAAUGUGAACUCGAAUAAAGCUACGGGUCAUUGAACGGAAUUGUUUUGGACCAAGCAGUUUGUCAAUGAUGAGCAAAGAAUAAGAAUAUUGCCAAUUGAAAGCCAAAGAUAAACAUAUGGAGAGUAGGUUAAGGUUCUUCUCUAUUUACGUCUUUUUGUUUUCUUCUUACCUGGCGAUGAAAAUAAAUAUUGCGCGUGUAAAUGAUGAUCAGACCAAUGGGAUGAAGCUGGAUGAUAAAGAGUGGCUCGUGCUUUAGAUUGAUAUGCUUGAAAGAUCAUCUUGUUUUGAAGCACUUUUAUCUUCUUCUUUUCGUUUGAUUUUUAGCCUUUUUGGUCUCAAAACCAAUCAUUAAAUGGGCGAAUUUAAUCCUUACUCUUGAUAAGUAACAAUUAAAAUAACAUAUUGAAAAUUAUGUUAUCUUGAAGUAGUCAAUUCCCAUAAAGUUCAGCAAUAUGUGAAAUGUUAAAUUGAAAAUGAAACAGCAGCACUUAGCUUUUAAUUCAAUGAAUGAGUUAAAAUUUAGCACAUGUAUUAAACAAUUUGAACAUUUGCCAAGUUAUGAUAUUACUUGACAAUAAAUUUACUUGACAAAUCCCGCAAUUUUUCACAAAACCCAGUCACUUGCCUUUUUUAUCAUCCACUUCAUCAUUGUCAUUUAAUUGUGUUUUUUACACAAAAAAUAAACUUCGUUACGCGUCUUUUAAUUCACCAAUUAUCUUCUUCAUCUUCUUGCCUCUAAUUAUCAAGGCUCACAAUUGAUCGGCUCAAUGAUUACAACUUGACUUGAUCUUCGCCAUCGUCUUCGUCUUAUUAUCCAUUUCUACAUUUAACCUUGUCAUUGAGCCCAGGUCAAUAACAGCUCAAUUGGUCACAAUUCAAAGCCGAAAGAUCCACCGACCUCCAACAAUGUCAGCGAUCAAAGGACAAUUUAUUAUUAACCAUGGAAAGCAAACAAAAGGAAACUUCAACAGCUACCUGUUGAUACAAUUAGCCAUUGAGAUAUUGCCAUUUCAAACUAAAGAAAUGAUAAAUGUCCACAAAAUUACGAUGAAAUAUCUAUUAAGAAUCACCAAGGAUGGACACAAUUCACCAAAAUUUGCCACAAUUGAAGACGGUUGAAGUAACUUAAGAUGUACUUACCAUAGGAAUCUCAAAAUUUCCGUUUACCUUUUCUUGUUGCUUACAAAUUUCUUCUUAACUUUAACAUUCUAACGUUAUGUUAGUUCAGGUCAGUUAAGGUGAAAGAGAUGCAGACAGGGUUGGUCAGUUGUUUAAAACAAUUUUUGAAAUUUUGUGUGGUUAUUCAAAUUAAUUUGAAUCGCACUUUAAUGAGUACAAAUGAGACGAACCGCUAUAAUCAAAUUAACAUUGAUAACAAUUAUCUAACCAAAAGUCUAAUUUUAACAAUCAUUGCAAUAAUUACAAUUGCAAAGUUAAUUUAGAUCAUAACUGAUUGCUACUGUUUAUAAAUUGCAAUUGAUAAAGGCUAAUUGAAAAUCAUUUGAAAAUAGAAAUGUAAAACAAUUGAAAAGCUUACUCAACUAUUAAUACUAAUAACUAAUAAAUGAAUUUUGUCCCUCAUUUCAUUGUAAUA